rnacentral:rRNA from 1 species
GAUCAUGGCUCAGGACGAACGCUGGCGGCGCGCUUAACACAUGCAAGUCGAACGGACACAUCCGACGGAAUAGCUUGCUAGGAAGAUGGAUGUUGUUAGUGGCGGACGGGUGAGUAACACGUGAGCAACCUACCUCAGAGUGGGGGACAACAGUUGGAAACGACUGCUAAUACCGCAUAAGAUGGCAGGGUCGCAUGGCCUGGUCAUAAAAGGAGCAAUUCG